UAGCUAGUCUGGUAGCUAGCUAGAUAGCUACCACGUUUUUCCUCAUCAAAAAAAAAAACCUCUGGAGUUUCACUUUUUAAUUCUUCUUGGUGAAAGCAACGCAGGUGUUUCGUUUUUUCAGCAAUACCUACUAGUGGCUUCCUCAACAAAGACCUCUGAAGAAAAGAGGAUUCGUUUCUACAGAAAUGGCUGCGUUUGUUUGCGUCAUUAGGUGAUUUUACAAAGAGCUGGGACAAUGUGGCUGUGUUAGUUGAUGAAACACUUAUACCACAAGAGCUGUGUAGCCCGAUCCUACAGACCCCAACACACCAGAACAUAAAACAAAAGGUCCUUCUAAUAAGGAAUAAGAACGUUGGAAACAGACAAUCCGUUCCUGAACAAAGGAUCCGUAAGGGUGAUGGCUACUCGAUAGCACAUAGGGCUGAAAUCAACCAUGAUAAAAGGCCGUGUGCUUCUCUAACCUCUCUGUGAAAGCU